rnacentral:rRNA from 1 species
UACGGGGGGAGCAAGCGUUGUUCGGAAUCACUGGGCGUAAAGGGCGUGUAGGCGGUCAAGUAAGUGGAAUGUGAAAGCCCCCGGCUUACCCGGGGAUCUGCAUCCCAAACUGCUUGGCUUGAGUACGGGAGAGGAUAGGGGAAUUCCUGGUGUAGCGGUGAAAUGCGCAGAUAUCAGGAGGAACACCGGUGGCGAAGGCGGUUCUCUGGGCAUGAUCUGACGCUGAGGAGCGAAAGUGUGGGGAGCGAACAGG